AGAUGAUCUUCUGAGCUUUCAAUUUAAUUGCUGUCACUGAAUUGAUAAGAUUAAUUAAGAAAACUAAUUCUGAAUUUCUACCUUCCCUGUCAGAACAGAUUUCUGGUCAAGUCAUAAAAGAUCCAGUCCAUGCUAGGGAUAUUAGUGGUACUAGAAAAGCAUCUUUGAAAACUAUUACUUUCCAAGUAUGUUGUAACUCUAGAAAAGUAUGUAAAACUUUGGAUUGAAAGGCAAUCUUGGGCAAAAUGUUACAUUUUAUUCUGACUCUAUUUUUCUACUGACACUAUUUUUGGUACAAAGAGUUCUUUCUAUUGCAGAAAAUAUAUUUCAGACCCUUUGUCCUUGCCAGACAGCAGUAGAGCAAACAGCUCCCCACCACCACUUUUUUUUUUCUUUUUUUUUUUUUUAACUUAACAAACUAGGAACAUACAGCAGGGAGAUGAGUAAGCAGGCAACAAAGCCCAGCUAUGUAUACACCAUUGGUCACCGCAUAUGGGAACCAAAGACAGGAAACUUUGAAAUGGAAGUAUUGACUUCACCUACCCAGAUGUGUUCCUAUGGCUGCCUUCUCCUCCCAAACUAAAGUUACUACUGUGCAAUUACUCAGUAUUUUACCAGAAAGAAGUCUGGAAAUAGAAGACAUUGCACAGAGUGAAACCAUUUCUGUGCAGUUACAUGUAAGUAUAAAAUAAAUCCUGAACUGCCCGGUUAGAGGAGCUGUAC
rnacentral:lncRNA from 1 species